rnacentral:sRNA from 1 species
GGACACGGAGAAGAAGGUGUUCCUCUUGGCUGGCAGGAAACGAAAACGGAGCAAGACAGCCAAUUACCUCAUCUCCAUCGACCCUACCAAUCUGUCCCGAGGAGGGGAGAAUUUCAUCGGGAAGCUGAGGUCCAACCUCCUGGGGAACCGCUUCACGGUCUUUGACAACGGGCAGAACCCACAGCGUGGGUACAGCACUAAUGUGGCAAGCCUUCGGCAGGAGCUGGCAGCUGUGAUCUAUGUGAGGACUCCACCUGUCCCCCAUGCCAGGCUGCUCCCCUUACAGGGGCUGGCCUCACAGGCAUCUGUUUCCUUCCCAGGAAACCAACGUGCUGGGCUUCCGUGGCCCCCGGCGCAUGACCGUCAUCAUUCCUGGCAUGAGUGCGGAGAACGAGAGGGUCCCCAUCCGGCCCCGAAAUGUGAGCCCCGCACCUCCCUGGCCCCUGGCUCCCUAUGUGAGAAACAGGAGUCGGGGCUCAGCUUAGGAAAUAGCCAACUCCCUGAGCACGUCCAUCACCCUCCAACACAAAUUCAUUCUGGCCACCUAGGGAAUGGACUUGGGCUUUUUGUAAUUGAAUUCACUGAAAAACCA